rnacentral:tRNA from 1 species
GGCCAUCAGCGGUCUAAAGCGCUGCAUUCAGGUAGCAGUCUCCCCUGGGAGGCGUGGGUUCGAAUCCCACUUCUG